rnacentral:lncRNA from 1 species
AGCAGGUCACGACUUGCGACUUGCUGAGAGACACGGAGAGAAUCCAUGAAAUAAAUCAAUGGAAGGACUCGAGUUGACUCGAAGAUGCAUGUAUUGGGAAAUAUGCCAAUACAGCCAAAAAUUAUCCGCGACGGAUACUUCGGAUGAAAAUCCGGACUCAGGUGGGGAUGUCCACAAGGGACUCAACUGAGGGAGAUCCCAACAGAAAAUCUCCUGGGGAAGCAACGAGAUGAGGUAUUACCGGUUACUGGGUAAUAAGCUCAAAGAGACGUGUG